rnacentral:rRNA from 1 species
AAGACCUUGCGCUUUUGUAGCGGCCGAUGCCUGAUUAGCUUGUUGGUAAGGUAAAAGCUUACCAAGGCUUCGAUCAGUAGCUGGUCUGAGAGGACGACCAGCCACACUGGGACUGAGACACGGCCCAGACUCCUACGGGAGGCAGCAGUGGGGAAUUUUGGACAAUGGGGGCAACCCUGAUCCAGCCAUGCCGCGUGAGUGAAGAAGGCCUUCGGGUUGUAAAGCUCUUUCAGCCGGAACGAAACGGUUACGGAUAACACCCGUGACUACUGACGGUACCGGAAGAAGAAGCACCGGCUAACUACGUGCCAGCAGCCGCGGUAAUACGUAGGGUGCGAGCGUUAAUCGGAAUUACUGGGCGUAAAGCGUGCGCAGGUGGUUUUGUAAGUCAGAUGUGAAAGCCCCGGGCUCAACCUGGGAACU